UGGUGUGUAUACAAGUGAAAUUUGGGAAAUGUAUUGGUGUGCUAGCUAUAAAUGUAUUUACAAAUUUUGAGGUCAAUCAAACAAUUAGAUCAAAGUAUAUGAAUAUUUUUAUAGGUUGACAUCUCAGAAAUUGGAAUUUGAGGGUCAAUGAGUAUUUUUAAGAUCUUCAGCAAUCUAUUAAUUUUUAUAUAGAUAUAAGACUUAGUUUUCCAUAUUUGUAUGAAAUUUAAGAGUAAUUCAAGGAUUCAAGCAAGAAAAAUUGGCAAUAGAAGUUUAGUAUUUAGAUUAGAAUAGGAGGCCAUCCAAUACUUAUUUAGAUUAUCUUACAUUUUUCUCAAUUAGUAGUGCCAUUGGUUUUAUCUUUCUUGUGCUUGUUUUUAACUAAGAUAUUAACAAGUAUAAAAAUUUUGAAUUGAUAUCAAUGGUUUGAUCAUUAAUUAUUGAUGUUUUUAUUCUGUUAUAGAAUUUGUUAAGAGUUUGUUUAAGAUCUAGGAUUUACUUAAGAUUUGGUUUAGAACUUAACUAAUAUUUGAUUAGAAUUUAUUUAGGAUUUGUAUUGGAUUUAGGAUUUUAAUAGGAUUUUAAUGAGGUUAUAUUUAAGAUUUGAUUAAGAUUUAAUUAAGAUUUUAAUUAGGAUUUAUUUAGGAUUUUUAUUUUUAGUAUUCUUUCGAAUUUUCUUUUUCUU
rnacentral:lncRNA from 1 species